rnacentral:rRNA from 1 species
AACAGAGGGUGCAAACGUUGUUCGGAAUUACUGGGCGUAAAGCGCGUGUAGGCAGCGACUGCAAGUCGGAUGUGAAAGCCCUGGGCUCAACCUAGGAAGUGCAUUCGAAACUGCAGGGCUUGAGUUCUGGAGAGGAAGGCGGAAUUCUCGGUGUAGAGGUGAAAUUCGUAGAUAUCGAGAGGAACAUCGGUGGCGAAGGCGGCCUUCUGGACAGUGACUGACGCUGAGACGCGAAAGCGUGGGGAGCAAACAGG